rnacentral:rRNA from 1 species
UACAGAGGUCCCAAGCGUUGUUCGGAUUCACUGGGCGUAAAGGGUGCGUAGGUGGCCAGGUAAGUUUGGUGUGAAAGCUCGGAGCUUAACUCCGAAAAAGUCAUUGAAUACUAUCUGGCUGGAGGGUCGGAGGGGAGACUGGAAUUCUCGGUGUAGCAGUGAAAUGCGUAGAGAUCCGGAAGAACACCGGUGGCGAAGGCGGUCUGCUGGGCAGUUGCUGACGCUGAUGCGCGACAGCGUGGGGAGCAAACGAGGAUUAGAAG